rnacentral:rRNA from 1 species
GACACGGUCCAAACUCCUACGGGAGGCAGCAGUGAGGAAUAUUGGUCAAUGGGCGGGAGCCUGAACCAGCCAAGUAGCGUGAAGGAUGACGGCCCUACGGGUUGUAAACUUCUUUUAUAAGGGAAUAAAGUUCGCCACGCGUGGUGUUUUGUAUGUACCUUAUGAAUAAGCAUCGGCUAAUUCCGUGCCAGCAGCCGCGGUAAUACGGAAGAUGCGAGCGUUAUCCGGAUUUAUUGGGUUUAAAGGGAGCGUAGGCGGGCUUUUAAGUCAGCGGUCAAAUGCCACGGCUCAACCGUGGCCAGCCGUUGAAACUGCAAGCCUUGAGUCUGCACAGGGCACAUGGAAUUCGUGGUGUAGCGGUGAAAUGCUUAGAUAUCACGAAGAACUCCGAUCGCGAAGGCAUUGUGCCGGGGCAUAACUGACGCUGAGGCUCGAAAGUGCGGGUAUCAAACAGGAUUAGAUACCCUGGUAGUCCGCACGGUAAACGAUGAAUGCUCGCUAUGGGCGAUACAAUGUCCGUGGCCAAGCGAAAGCGUUAAGCAUUCCACCUGGGGAGUACGCCGGCAACGGUGAAACUCAAAGGAAUUGACGGGGGCCCGCACAAGCGGAGGAACAUGUGGUUUAAUUCGAUGAUACGCGAGGAACCUUACCCGGGCUUGAAUUGCAGGUGCAUGAGUCGGAGACGGCUCUUUCCUUCGGGACUCCUGUGAAGGUGCUGCAUGGUUGUCGUCAGCUCGUGCCGUGAGGUGUCGGCUUAAGUGCCAUAACGAGCGCAACCCUUCUCCCCAGUUGCCAUCGGGUAAUGCCGGGCCCUCUGGGGACACUGCCAUCGUAAGAUGCGAGGAAGGUGGGGAUGACGUCAAAUCAGCACGGCCCUUACGUCCGGGGCCACACACGUGUUACAAUGGGGGGUACAGAGGGCCGCUGUCCGGUGACGGUCGGCCAAUCCCUAAAACCCCUCUCAGUUCGGACUGGAGUCUGCAACCCGACUCCACGAAGCUGGAUUCGCUAGUAAUCGCGCAUCAGCCAUGGCGCGGUGAAUACGUUCCCGGGCCUUGUACACACCGCCCGUCAAGCCAUGAAAGCCGGGGGUGCCUGAAGUCCGUGACCGCGAGGGUCGGCCUAGGGUAAAACUGGUGAUUGGGGCUAAGUCGUAACAAGGUAGCCGUACCGGAAGGUGCGGCUG